rnacentral:lncRNA from 1 species
AUAAAGCCCAAUUCUUUGAUUUGACAUGCUCACCACCACGCCCGGCUAACUUUUGUAUUUUUACUAGAGACAGGGUUUCAUCAUGUCAGCCAGGCUGAUCUCGAACUCCUGACUUCAAGUGAACACUCGCCUCAGCCUCCCAAAGUGCUGGGAUUACAGGCAUGAGUCACCACGCCCGGCCCAAGUCUUUAAUGACUACCUGUCUACUGUUAUCUCCCAACUGUGUUAUCUCUGGCCUGAAUCACUAGUGAGAGAUCCAGACCCAUAGACACAGCUGCCAGCUGCGUAUUUUCUCCAGACAUCUCAUUGCAGCUGUCUGAAAUUUUCCAAGUCCAACACUGAACUCAACAUCUCCUCUAUCCCCAGCACCAACCCCAACCUGCUUCUCCUUUGCUCUGUAGUUUCAUAAAUGACACCACCCUUUUUCAAGUUCAAAACUUGCUAGUCAUCCCAGAAGAGCGUAGGUCCUUUCCUUAACCCCCACAAGCUAAUCCUUAUGGAGUGUUGCCAUUUCUAACCCUUAAACAUCCACCCACAGAAGGUAUGUGGUGGAGAAUUGAGGCAGGUAUCCCAGAGGGCACAUGGCACCCUGUCUCAGCACCUUAAACUACCUUACUCUUACUCAUAGAUCAGUGGCUCUCAAAGUGUGGUCCCUUGAGCCCAGGAGUUUGAGACCAGCCUGGGCAACACAGCCAAAGAGUGGUUCCUGGACCAGCAUCACCAACAAUAUCUGGGAGCUUGCUAGAAGUCCCAAUUCUUGGAUCCCACUCAUGACCUUCUGAGUCAAUAACUCUGGGGGUGGAGCCCAGCAACCUGUGUUAUUAAUAAGUCCUUAAGGUGACUCAGAGGCACAUUAAAGUUUAAGAACCACUAUCUAGGCCAUUGCAACAAUUCUCUAACUGGUCUCCUGACUUUAUUCAUAUCUCUUCUGAUCAAUUUCCAACUUCCACAAGAGUGACUGGACCAUGUUACCUCCCUACUGAAAACUUUCCUAGGGCUCCCCAUGACCCAUCUUCGGGGGAAAAAAAGUUUAAACAUUCUAAUGAGCAUUCCAGACUCUGCAGUUGUGACUAACUUACUUUUCCUCUUUCAGGAACUGCUUCACAAGAUUAAAGGAGAAACAGAAAAUGUAUCUAGCGCUGUGCUUGGGGCAUGGCAGGAACUCAAUGAAUGCUUAUUAAAUACUGUAAAUGAUAAAC